AUUGAACGCUGGCGGCAUGCUUUACACAUGCAAGUCGAACGGUAACAGGCCUUCGGGUGCUGACGAGUGGCGAACGGGUGAGUAAUGCAUCGGAACGUGCCCAGAGGUGGGGGAUAACGCAGCGAAAGCUGUGCUAAUACCGCAUGUGAUCUGAGGAUGAAAGCGGGGGACCAGGCAGCAAUGUUUGGCCUCGCGCCUUUGGAGCGGCCGAUGUCAGAUUAGGUAGUUGGUGGGGUAAAGGCCUACCAAGCCGACGAUCUGUAGCUGGUCUGAGAGGACGACCAGCCACACUGGGACUGAGACACGGCCCAGACUCCUACGGGAGGCAGCAGUGGGGAAUUUUGGACAAUGGGCGCAAGCCUGAUCCAGCAAUGCCGCGUGCGGGAAGAAGGCCUUCGGGUUGUAAACCGCAUUUGUACGGAACGAAAAGGCUCUGGCUAAUACCUGGGGCUGAUGACGGUACCGUAAGAAUAAGCACCGGCUAACUACGUG
rnacentral:rRNA from 1 species